GGUCCUUGUAAACAUUACGUGGUUUUCCAGUUAAUGUGGGAGGUUUUCGAACGAACCAAAUUUGAGAUGUCUAUAAAUAUUAUGAAUCGGCUGUAAGGAAGCGCCAUUUCCGACUACUCGUGUUUCUUCCGAACUCGCUCGUUCCUGAUUUGCACCUAGGUGUAAAAUAUAUUUGCACGAUUGCACACAUACAAUAAUGAUACACAAGUAUAAAUAUGCGAUUCGAGUUGCUACAUUGUUGCCAACAAUGGCGGUCAGAGUGAGACAGCUGUGGGGAAUUCGGCUACAAACACUUACGUUUUUCACUGCAUUUCUGUGCGACUUUAAACUCGUCGAAUCCUGUGUUGGCGAAGAAGUCGGUGACUUGUUACUCUGCAGGUCCUGUGGACAUGAAUUGGCUUUUGAGAAAGAUGCCAACUUUAUCCACAGUCGACUUGCGCUCUCUUAUAGAAAUGAUACGGUUGUUGGAGAAAGAAGAGUGCCCGUCCAGCGGUUCGAAAACCCACAGGGCUACCAGUUUGAAGUCAUGACUUUCAGAAAGGCAGACGUUGUCAAGCACUGGCCUGCGGACAAACAUUUCACCUGGUAUCCUGGAUAUGCCUGGACAGUGGCUACAUGUCCGCGAUGUAACGCACACCUUGGUUGGGCUUUUCAACCCAUUGAAUGGCCAAAGACUUUAACCAAAGGGGAAUUUGAGGAAUCGGAGGAGACAUUUGUGGCCUUGGUCACUAAUCGAUUGUUACAAGAAAAAUUUGCAUCAACACUACUGACUCCGAAAUCAUUCAGAAGUUGACAUCUGCUGCAUUCAAAGCUACAAAUUAUACUUGGCUGUAAAAACUACUUUUUUUGCAUUUCAUAAUAAAUAAAAAGCAAUACA